AUUGAACGCUGGCGGCAGGCCUAACACAUGCAAGUCGAGCGGAUGAAGGGAGCUUGCUCUCUGAUUCAGCGGCGGACGGGUGAGUAAUGCCUAGGAAUCUGCCUGGUAGUGGGGGACAACGUUUCGAAAGGAACGCUAAUACCGCAUACGUCCUACGGGAGAAAGCAGGGGGACCUUCGGGCCUUGCGCUAUCAGAUGAGCCUAGGUCGGAUUAGCUAGUUGGCGAGGUAAUGGCUCACCAAGGCGACGAUCCGUAACUGGUCUGAGAGGAUGAUCAGUCACACUGGAACUGAGACACGGUCCAGACUCCUACGGGAGGCAGCAGUGGGGAAUAUUGGACAAUGGGCGAAAGCCUGAUCCAGCCAUGCCGCGUGUGUGAAGAAGGUCUUCGGAUUGUAAAGCACUUUAAGUUGGGAGG
rnacentral:rRNA from 1 species